rnacentral:lncRNA from 1 species
UUCGCCAAUUAUUCGGAUACGUGAUUUAUACGGAUAUUAUACGUUCACCAAUUAAAAAUUCGGGAUAAAAAAUUCGGCUAUUAAAUUAAAUUUUUUUCCUCUCAAAAUUUAUGCUAUUAGCAUAAAUACUCAUAUUUUUUAAAAAAUAUAAGAAUAAAAAGCUAUAAAAUUAAACUAAUUAAGUAAAAAAAAAAAGUAAACUAUAUUAUUCCUCAAAAUAAAUAAAUAAUUAAGCAAAUAAUUGAUCAAGAUAGUCCAUAUUUAAAUGUAAAAGCUUCCAACUUUUGCUUUGAAGAAUGAAAACUCAAUUAGUACCUGGUCCCAAAGUUAUGUUUUAAAAAUUAAGUAGAAAUCCCAGUGAGUCAAUGGUCCAUGAAAGACCACAACAAAAUUUCCUUUUGCAAGUGUCGACAAAGAUCAUGAAAUUGAUUAGGUAUAAUACAAGAGUUCUGUUACGACCAUUGCAUCAGAUAGAAGAGUAGGGUAAGUAGGCGGAGUAGAAGGGUGAGACGCGAGAGGAUCGAAGGUGAAGAAGAACAGUGGCGCGGCGGCGAAAUCUAUAGAAGAAGGGUUAUCGGGCAAUGGGUUCGUGUUACCUCACUGUAGCAUCACCGCGCCCGACUCCGAACUCUGGAUCAGCUAAUGGGUGACGGGCCAUCUCUGGAACAGUGUGGAGCCAUAGCGGGUAAUGGUUCCGCUUAACUCUUACUCUGUGACACCGACCCGAAUCCGGAAGGUUUAGAGAGAGACGGUUGAGCUGAAGCCAGUGAAGGAGCCCAGCCCAAGCCAGGAUUAGGCCCACUAUAGUCCACUGAGUGUAAUUACAAUUACAGUUUAACCCUCGCCAUUGUAAUUCUUACAUUUUGAUCCUCACGCUGAGGAGUAUAAGUAGCAACUCACGCCUGUAACAAACUAUGAGAAAUUUGAAUAAAAAUUCCCCAAUUCUCCCCAAUCCUCUCCUCUUCCCCACUCUUCUCCAUUCUUCUUCUUCUUCUUCCCCAUCUCACUCCUCAUCUCAGAUCUAUUCUUGCUCCUCUAGCUCUUCCACUGAUACCAACGGGUCUGGAUUCAGUCAAAUUUUGAAUCCCAUCAUCUCUUCUUCUUCGAUCCUCUGUGCGCAACUUCAUCGGAUCAAAGAAUCAGAUCAGGUAAGCGAUACAUCAUUCCAUUUCGCCUUCCUACGAUUAGUAUCGGGUUGCGAAAGGGUCAGGAUCGUAACAAGUUCCUGGUCCCAAAGUUAAUUAAGAUUAUUUAUUUAGCACUAUGUUUGGGUCUUCUUUGUGCAUAACAGAGAAUGGACACAUUCAAUUAAGCACUCAGCCACUUGUGUAUAAAACAAUCCAUCAGAUGACUAAAAGCUUCCAACUUUUUCUUUGAAGAAUGAAAAAAACUCAAAACGUACCUACUUGGGUUUGUAAAGAACCACCCGGUUACUGAUCUAUCGUUGGAUAGCGGAAGCGGGAGAGGAAGCGGAAGCGGAAGAGGAAGAGGCGACGAGGAGGGUUUCGAUUCCUGAAGAGUGAAGAACCCGAUCUUCGAUCUUCGAUUCCUGAAGAGGAGGGCUUCCGAUGGCGUUCGGCGAGCGGCCGGAAGGGAAGAGGGAGACCGCCGCAGGGGUCAAUGGCAGGGCCGCACCGCCGCAGGAGUGAGAAGUUAGGGCAAACCUUUUUUUGGGAGGGGUGGGGGUGGGAGCGUGGGAGUCGUCGCCUCGUGGGAGGGGGGCGAUGGUUUUCAGAAAUCCUUUCUUUUCUUUUUUCUUUUAUUUCU